rnacentral:ribozyme from 1 species
UUUCAAGCAACUCCUAUCCCUACCUCCUCGUGGUACAGGCCGGGGUACGAGUAACCUUGGGGAAGAUUGGGUAGCCAACCCCGGUGGGAACUUUGGUCGUAUGCUGACAGGGAAGG